rnacentral:rRNA from 1 species
UACAGAGGUGGCAAGCGUUGUUCGGAAUUACUGGGCGUAAAGGGCGCGUAGGCGGUUCGUUAAGUCCUGUAUGAAAUCCCCCGGCUCAACUGGGGAACUGCACAGGAAACUAGCGGGCUUGAGUUCGGGAGAGGGAAGCGGAAUUCCUGGUGUAGCGGUGAAAUGCGUAGAUAUCAGGAGGAACACCUGUGGUGGAGACAGCUUACUGGACCAUUUCUGACGCUGAGACACGAAAGCGUGGGUAGCAAACAGG